UACGUAGGGUGCAAGCGUUAAUCGGAAUUACUGGGCGUAAAGCGUGCGCAGGCGGUUUUGUAAGUCUGUCGUGAAAGCCCCGGGCUUAACCUGGGAAUUGCGAUGGAGACUGCAAGGCUUGAAUCUGGCAGAGGGGGUAGAAUUCCACGUGUAGCAGGUGAAAUGCGUAGAGAUGAUGGAGGAACACCGAUGGCGAAGGCAGCCCCCUGGGUCAAGAUUGACGCUCAUGCACGAAAGCGUGGGGAGCAAACAGG
rnacentral:rRNA from 1 species